rnacentral:rRNA from 1 species
GGGUUGUGAGGUUAAGCGACUAAGCGUACACGGUGGAUGCCCUGGCAGUCAGAGGCGAUGAAGGACGUGCUAAUCUGCGAUAAGCGUCGGUAAGGUGAUAUGAACCGUUAUAACCGGCGAUUUCCGAAUGGGGAAACCCAGUGUGUUUCGACACACUAUCAUUAACUGAAUCCAUAGGUUAAUGAGGCGAACCGGGGGAACUGAAACAUCUAAGUACCCCGAGGAAAAGAAAUCAACCGAGAUUCCCCCAGUAGCGGCGAGCGAACGGGGAGGAGCCCAGAGCCUGAAUCAGUGUGUGUGUUAGUGGAAGCGUCUGGAAAGGCGCGCGAUACAGGGUGACAGCCCCGUACACAAAAAUGCACAUAUUGUGAGCUCGAUGAGUAGGGCGGGACACGUGGUAUCCUGUCUGAAUAUGGGGGGACCAUCCUCCAAGGCUAAAUACUCCUGACUGACCGAUAGUGAACCAGUACCGUGAGGGAAAGGCGAAAAGAACCCCGGCGAGGGGAGUGAAAAAGAACCUGAAACCGUGUACGUACAAGCAGUGGGAGCACGCUUCGGCGUGUGACUGCGUACCUUUUGUAUAAUGGGUCAGCGACUUAUAUUCUGUAGCAAGGUUAACCGAAUAGGGGAGCCGAAGGGAAACCGAGUCUUAACUGGGCGUUAAGUUGCAGGGUAUAGACCCGAAACCCGGUGAUCUAGCCAUGGGCAGGUUGAAGGUUGGGUAACACUAACUGGAGGACCGAACCGACUAAUGUUGAAAAAUUAGCGGAUGACUUGUGGCUGGGGGUGAAAGGCCAAUCAAACCGGGAGAUAGCUGGUUCUCCCCGAAAGCUAUUUAGGUAGCGCCUCGUGAAUUCAUCUCCGGGGGUAGAGCACUGUUUCGGCAAGGGGGUCAUCCCGACUUACCAACCCGAUGCAAACUGCGAAUACCGGAGAAUGUUAUCACGGGAGACACACGGCGGGUGCUAACGUCCGUCGUGAAGAGGGAAACAACCCAGACCGCCAGCUAAGGUCCCAAAGUCAUGGUUAAGUGGGAAACGAUGUGGGAAGGCCCAGACAGCCAGGAUGUUGGCUUAGAAGCAGCCAUCAUUUAAAGAAAGCGUAAUAGCUCACUGGUCGAGUCGGCCUGCGCGGAAGAUGUAACGGGGCUAAACCAUGCACCGAAGCUGCGGCAGCGACACUAUGUGUUGUUGGGUAGGGGAGCGUUCUGUAAGCCUGUGAAGGUGUACUGUGAGGUAUGCUGGAGGUAUCAGAAGUGCGAAUGCUGACAUAAGUAACGAUAAAGCGGGUGAAAAGCCCGCUCGCCGGAAGACCAAGGGUUCCUGUCCAACGUUAAUCGGGGCAGGGUGAGUCGACCCCUAAGGCGAGGCCGAAAGGCGUAGUCGAUGGGAAACAGGUUAAUAUUCCUGUACUUGGUGUUACUGCGAAGGGGGGACGGAGAAGGCUAUGUUGGCCGGGCGACGGUUGUCCCGGUUUAAGCGUGUAGGCUGGUUUUCCAGGCAAAUCCGGAAAAUCAAGGCUGAGGCGUGAUGACGAGGCACUACGGUGCUGAAGCAACAAAUGCCCUGCUUCCAGGAAAAGCCUCUAAGCAUCAGGUAACAUCAAAUCGUACCCCAAACCGACACAGGUGGUCAGGUAGAGAAUACCAAGGCGCUUGAGAGAACUCGGGUGAAGGAACUAGGCAAAAUGGUGCCGUAACUUCGGGAGAAGGCACGCUGAUAUGUAGGUGAAGUCCCUCGCGGAUGGAGCUGAAAUCAGUCGAAGAUACCAGCUGGCUGCAACUGUUUAUUAAAAACACAGCACUGUGCAAACACGAAAGUGGACGUAUACGGUGUGACGCCUGCCCGGUGCCGGAAGGUUAAUUGAUGGGGUCAGCGCAAGCGAAGCUCUUGAUCGAAGCCCCGGUAAACGGCGGCCGUAACUAUAACGGUCCUAAGGUAGCGAAAUUCCUUGUCGGGUAAGUUCCGACCUGCACGAAUGGCGUAAUGAUGGCCAGGCUGUCUCCACCCGAGACUCAGUGAAAUUGAACUCGCUGUGAAGAUGCAGUGUACCCGCGGCAAGACGGAAAGACCCCGUGAACCUUUACUAUAGCUUGACACUGAACAUUGAGCCUUGAUGUGUAGGAUAGGUGGGAGGCUUUGAAGUGUGGACGCCAGUCUGCAUGGAGCCGACCUUGAAAUACCACCCUUUAAUGUUUGAUGUUCUAACGUUGACCCGUGAUCCGGGUUGCGGACAGUGUCUGGUGGGUAGUUUGACUGGGGCGGUCUCCUCCUAAAGAGUAACGGAGGAGCACGAAGGUUGGCUAAUCCUGGUCGGACAUCAGGAGGUUAGUGCAAUGGCAUAAGCCAGCUUGACUGCGAGCGUGACGGCGCGAGCAGGUGCGAAAGCAGGUCAUAGUGAUCCGGUGGUUCUGAAUGGAAGGGCCAUCGCUCAACGGAUAAAAGGUACUCCGGGGAUAACAGGCUGAUACCGCCCAAGAGUUCAUAUCGACGGCGGUGUUUGGCACCUCGAUGUCGGCUCAUCACAUCCUGGGGCUGAAGUAGGUCCCAAGGGUAUGGCUGUUCGCCAUUUAAAGUGGUACGCGAGCUGGGUUUAGAACGUCGUGAGACAGUUCGGUCCCUAUCUGCCGUGGGCGCUGGAGAACUGAGGGGGGCUGCUCCUAGUACGAGAGGACCGGAGUGGACGCAUCACUGGUGUUCGGGUUGUCAUGCCAAUGGCACUGCCCGGUAGCUAAAUGCGGAAGAGAUAAGUGCUGAAAGCAUCUAAGCACGAAACUUGCCCCGAGAUGAGUUCUCCCUGACCCUUUAAGGGUCCUGAAGGAACGUUGAAGACGACGACGUUGAUAGGCCGGGUGUGUAAGCGCAGCGAUGCGUUGAGCUAACCGGUACUAAUGAACCGUGAGGCUUAACCUUACAACGCCGAAGCUGUU